AAAGUACUCCCUCCGUCCCAAAAUUCUUGUCUUAGAUUUGUCUAGAUAAGGAUGUAUCAAGUCACAUUUUAGUAUUAGAUACAUCCGUAUCUAGACAAAUCUAAGACAAGAAAUUUGGGACAGAGGGAGUAGUUG
rfam:Triticum aestivum genome assembly, contig: Triticum_aestivum_CS42_TGACv1_scaffold_330726_4BS